AUGUUUUCUGAGGCACCCCUCAUGUCGAACCAGGGCAGGGGUGGAGAAGAGUUUGAGGAGUUAGCCAGACCAGAACCUCCACCACAGAAGCCUGUCCACAGACCAGAAAUGUACACUCAGGAGAGAAGGCGGACCCUCCAGGAGAGGACAAUGCCUUCUCAACAGGAACCUCCAGUUAGGCAGCAAGUCCCCAAGAUGAUGCCCAGAGAACCCAGUCUCCCUGCCAGAAGCAGUGAGCCCACCUCUCUUUCUCUCUCUCCAAACUCUCUCUCUUUAUCUCUCAAAAACAUGUCAAAGACACCUGAUUUAUGCUAUUAUAACCCCCGUCUUUGUUUCUCUUCUUCUCUGUGUAUCUCAGUGUCUCUGCGAAAAGCUAUGUCUCUCCAGAACUUGAGCCAGAUAGAGACACCCUGGGAAGGGGUCACCCUCAACCGCUGUCUGUUCAUAGCCAUCACCAUCCUGCUGGUCAGCACUGUCUUUCAGAAACUACACGAAACCAUAAAAGGUGGACGGGGUGUGGAGGAAGAGGAGUAUGACAUUGCACUGACUGUGAGGCGCUCCGCGCUGAGACACAAAGUCCAACCACAGGAGCCUGAGACGUCUCUGUAUGAGGUGCUCUUCUGGUGGUUACCUGACAUUGAUGACGAUAAUGAAGAAGAAGCUGAUGAAGGGGAAACCAAACAAGGUCGAGUGAAGAAAAGGGUUCGAGAGAGGUCGCUGAAGGGCCUGAGAGGCAAUGGAACACCAGAGAGAAAACUUGUAAAAGGCAGAGAGGGGAAGACAAAAGACAAGAGGGCCAAGAGAGAGAGGGAUGAAGAAACUAAGGGAAAGAAAAAGGGAAAACAGGCCAAGCUGAGAGAUGUGGAAAACAUGGAUGAGGAAGAGGAAAUAAAUGAAGGGGAAGAUGAGGUAAAACCCAAGAAGCUACAAAAGGUUAUGAAGUCAAAAGCCAGCAAAUCUUAA
rnacentral:lncRNA from 1 species